rnacentral:rRNA from 1 species
UACAGAGGGUGCAAACGUUGUUCGGAAUUACUGGGCGUAAAGCGCGUGUAGGCUGCUCGGAAAGUCGGAUGUGAAAGCCCUGGGCUUAACCUAGGAAGUGCAUUCGAAACUUCCGAGCUGGAGUUCUGGAGAGGAAGGCGGAAUUCUCGGUGUAGAGGUGAAAUUCGUAGAUAUCGAGAGGAACACCGGUGGCGAAGGCGGCCUUCUGGACAGUGACUGACGCUGAGACGCGAAAGCGUGGGGAGCCGAACGAG